GCGAAGGUGGCGGAAUUGGCAGACGCGCCAGAUUUAGGUUCUGGUGCCCUUUGGGUGUGCGGGUUCAAGUCCCGCCCUUCGCA
rnacentral:tRNA from 1 species